UGGGGAAUAUUGGACAAUGGGCGAAAGCCUGAUCCAGCCAUGCCGCGUGUGUGAAGAAGGUCUUCGGAUUGUAAAGCACUUUAAGUUGGGAGGAAGGGCCAUUACCUAAUACGUGAUGGUCUUGACGUUACCGACAGAAUAAGCACCGGCUAACUCUGUG
rnacentral:rRNA from 1 species